UGACUGGCGGCAUGCUUUUAAAAUGCAAGUCGAACGGUAACAGGUUAAGCUGACGAGUGGCGAACGGGUGAGUAAUGCAUCGGAACGUGCCCGAUCGUGGGGGAUAACGCAGCGAAAGCUGCGCUAAUACCGCAUACGAUCUGAGGAUGAAAGCGGGGGACCGUAAGGCCUCGCGCGAUCGGAGCGGCCGAUGUCAGAUUAGGUAGUUGGUGGGGUAAAGGCUCGCCAAGCCGACGAUCUGUAGCUGGUCUGAGAGGACGACCAGCCACACUGGGACUGAGACACGGUCCAGACUCCUACGGGAGGCAGCAGUGGGGAAUAUUGCACAAUGGAGGAAACUCUGAUGCAGCAACGCCGCGUGGAGGAUGACGCAUUUCGGUGUGUAAACUCCUUUUAUAAGGGAAGAUAAUGACGGUACCUUAUGAAUAAGCACCGGCUAACUCCGUGCCAGCAGCCGCGGUAAUACGGAGGGUGCAAGCGUUACUCGGAAUCACUGGGCGUAAAGGAUGCGUAGGCUGGAAAUCAAGUCGAGAGUGAAAUCCAACGGCUCAACCGUUGAACUGCUUUCGAAACUGGUUACCUAGAAUAUGGGAGAGGUAGAUGGAAUUAGUGGUGUAGGGGUAAAAUCCGUAGAUAUCACUAGGAAUACCGAUUGCGAAGGCGAUCUACUGGAACAUUAUUGACGCUGAGGCAUGAAAGCGUGGGGAGCAAACAGGAUUAGAUACCCUGGUAGUCCACGCCCUAAACGAUGCACACUAGUUGUUGCGAUGCUAGUCAUUGCAGUAAUGCACUUAACAGAUUAAGUGUGCCGCCUGGGGAGUACGGUCGCAAGAUUAAAACUCAAAGGAAUAGACGGGGACCCGCACAAGCGGUGGAGCAUGUGGUUUAAUUCGAAGAUACACGAAGAACCUUACCUGGGCUUGAUAUCCUAAGAAUCCUGUAGAGAUACGGGAGUGCUAGUUUACUAGAACUUAGAGACAGGUGCUGCACGGCUGUCGUCAGCUCGUGUCGUGAGAUGUUGGGUUAAGUCCCGCAACGAGCGCAACCCUCGUGAUUAGUUGCUAACAGUUCGGCUGAGCACUCUAAUCAGACUGCCUUCGUAAGGAGGAAGAAGGUGAGGACGACGUCAAGUCAUCAUGGCCCUUAUGCCCAGGGCUACACACGUGCUACAAUGGCUAGGACAAAGAGACGCGAUACCGCGAGGUGGAGCAAAUCUUAAAACCUAGUCUCAGUUCGGAUUGGAGUCUGCAACUCGACUCCAUGAAGCUGGAAUCGCUAGUAAUCGUAGAUCAGAUAUGCUACGGUGAAUACGUUCCCGGGUCUUGUACUCACCGCCCGUCACACCAUGGGAGUUGAAUUCACCCGAAGCCGGAAUACUAAAUUAGUUUACCCCCU
rnacentral:rRNA from 1 species